ACAUUUUUCCUAUGAGAACAUUUAUUAGCCUAUGAAUUCAACAAACACGCGUGUUUGUUUUAAAAUAAUCUGAUGUCCAUCACACACUCAUACACACGUACAUUCUCUCUCCCCUACACUCUCCCUAGAAUUGGACCACCGGUCCACUACCAAACCACCACUGUCGGCACCACUGUAGUACCACCAGACCUGUGCCCUCUUCACCAUAUCCAGAUCUUAUUGUUUGUCGUCUCCCUCCGCCUCCCAGCGUCGGAAACCACCCGGCUGUCGCUUUUACACUCCAGAUUUGCUUGUUUACCACCACCUAACAUCGAAAACUACCUUCAUCUACCUCCACUCUUCCCAAAACGUCACCAGAUCUUGAUACACCGGCCACUGCCACCGGAUCUCGUCUAUCCCCCAUCAUAUCUCGUUUCAAUGGAUCUCAUCGAAUUUGAAGUAGAAAUCGUUUGCUUCAUCACCAAACUAAUUUGUCAAAAGGUUUUGGUCUUCAUUUAUGAUAAUGUGAUUGAUAGUCUAGCGGGUGAGAAUGGAAGGAGGAGAGAGGACUUGAAUAUAUGAAUGAUCUAAACUAGAAGGCCACCAUUUUCCUAUCACGUUCAUUGGAUCUGAAGAAGGCGACAAGAUUCGGUUUCACCGGUCGCCACCAUCGAAUAUGUCGACAACAAGCUCUUAUCGGAAAUCAUGGAGUUAUUGUCGUUUCUCCGGCACCGCCGCCGCCUUCAUUCUCUGUCAGGCUUUGUGAUUUUCAGCAACAGUCAGCUCCUUUCUCAUGGUAGCUCUCUCUCUCUCUCUAUGUGUUUUUCUCUUCCUAUAACUAUGCCGAAUUCGGUCCAUUAUCAUCCUACUUACUAGCCUCCUUAUCAGAUUUACACUUCACAAUGGAGCCAAAAUCAUGUAAAUGAUCUUCAAUAAUUUGUGAAUAAAGUAAUCAAACAUCUGAACCCCA